rnacentral:lncRNA from 1 species
GGCGAGACGUGACUUUGUUCCUCCUUUGCCUUCUGCGAUGAUGGUGAGGCCUCCCCAGCCACGUGGAACUGACCGGAGGAGCCCUGGGGGCCAGGGAGACCACGGUCGCCCUUCUCACCCUGUUCACCCGGAGGACCGAUGAGCCCGAUCAGGCCUGGAUGACCCUGUGGGAAAAUGAAGACAGGAAGGGGCAUUUGAGGGAGCCACGCCUCAUGCUCGGCCACGGUGGGCCAGUUAGCACGCAGCACAGCCAUGGCACAGGAAGCUUUACAUCAUGGUCAGCCUCCCCUGGAAGGGGAACAGGCUCAACAGAGGGGCCAGGUGACGAAACGGCAGGUCCGAGGUGGCCCUUCGCUGGCCACAGUCACGUCUAAAAACAGACAGGGAGCCACAGACACUGAGACAGACCAAAGUGAUAAAGGGGUUUUCCUGAGUGGUAAUGUUUAUCUCUGUCUUUCUCUUCGUAUACGCUCUCCAAUUUCCUAUGGCAAAUCCGAACGCCUGCUCCUAUACGGAACUAAAACAAAGUUUGUGGACUGACACGGAAAGAAAGAUGCAGAGUAUUAUAGAUAUUACAAUCAUGGGUUGUUUUUCUAAAAAAAGAAGAAUCCAUGACACUCGCUGUCUAUGUUUGUCUUCUAGGAACCCAGGGCAAGCCUCGCAAGGCAGCCCCAGCUCUCAUUUGCCUUGGGGCUGGGGGCAGUGGUGGCGGACGUCAGAGUGGAAAUGAGAGGGCCCUCACUGCCUUCUGCUUCAUAUACAACCAUCUCACUCCUGAGUACCUUUUAUGUUUGUAAAUAAAUCAAUGCAAGUGGAAAACAAUUCCCAGCAGUUAGAAAAAUAAAAGGGCUUUGCUCCCACUGCA